rnacentral:lncRNA from 1 species
CUCAUCAUCUUUACAAACCUCUCUAAUUUCAUCAUCCGUAGAUGUUGAAUCAUCGUCUCUUAAAAAACCUCAGGCCAAUUACCAAUUCCCUCUGAUGUCAUUAUGCUUGUGAAAAUUAGAUAAAAUUAGAUAAGACAAAAAUUAUAAAAUGAAAACUCAGUAUAAAAUCAUUUUUUGUAAAUUGUUUAACAACGAGUGUUUCU